GUAGGUGAACCUGCGGAAGGAUCAUUAAUGAGUCUGAAAGGGGUUGUUGCUGGUCUCUUCGGGGACAUGUGCACACUCUGCUCACUCCAUAUACACCUGUGCACCUUUGGUAGAUCAUGAUCAAUUAGACCACUGGGCGUUGAUAAUACUACCUAUUUUUAUAAACUCUGAAAGUAAUGAAUGUAAAGCUAUAAACGCAUAAAUACAACUUUCAACAACGGAUCUCUUGGCUCUCGCAUCGAUGAAGAAC
rnacentral:misc_RNA from 1 species